rnacentral:lncRNA from 1 species
UAUAACCUAACAAACUUAAACUAACUAUGCACUUAUAGGCAGUGUACCUAGUCAGAUUACAGUAUAGUUUGGGUAAGUCGGGUGUCGAUCACAGGGAACGGUGUUACUAAUUAAUUUACUUACUAUUAAAUUAACCUAAUUAUUAACAAGUUUAAAAGGGGUUUUAUCUGAUUUUACAAGAUCAUGCGAGCUUUAAUUCAAAUUCAAUAAGUAAAAACACACUCUUGUUUAGUUUGAAUCCACUUCUUUCUUAUGGCUAGCUAAUGUUUAUGGAUAAUCUAGUUGGUUUUAGUUAUAUUAGUAAUUUAGUUCUAACUUUACCAAUAAUUAACUAAUUCAUGUCAAACCAUGUAUGUUCACACACAAUUAAACACAGAACUAAUUAUGAAUGUAAAUACGCUAUGUAAGAUUUGUUAUAUAAACGCAAUUAUAGUCACAAUACACGUUCUCUAGCACAGCUAAGCUUAUUUACUCUAAUUACUAACUAAGAUUGGUCAAUCCUAGCUCUAACAAUUCAAUGUUCACUAAAUCAUUAGGUAAACAAGUUCAUGCAGUUAAUGGUCACUAAGCUACACAGAACAUGCAAUCAAGCAAUUAGAGAAACAAACAUAAGCAUGCUAGGUAAUACAAAUCAAACACAAACAAUUUUACCAACUAAAUAAAUCCAUAAAAAUUGAGCUAUUCAUAAGUUAGAAGCUUCAUCUAGCUAAACAAGAGUAGCUAGAUUCAGCUGCUCAUCAUAGCAACUAACAAAAUAACACAAGUUGAAUUGAUUGGAAACAUGUUCUUAAUUAACUAAAAUAAACUAAAUUAUGGACCUUCACUCUUUUUGAUGUUGAAAGCCUCUUCCCAGAACUUUUCUCUCCUCAAAAUCGUCUUCUGGAACUCCUCUUUCCAGCCAAAAAUUUUCUCUAUUCGUAAUGGUCAAGGAUUUAUAUAGUUGCUGAUAUCCAUAAAUUCACGUCGUGAAUAAUAAGAUAUUCACGUCGUGAAUUGUAGAUAACCGUGCCCAUCAAGGAUUCCUUCACUCGCGUACAUAUCUUCUAGAACCAAUGAUUCACGUCAUGAAUUCUUUAAGUCUCACGUCGUGAAUAAUAUUUUUCCAUAUUUUCUUCAUUUUAAUCUUUUAAUUCCCAAAGUUUCGUUCUUUAACGCUUUUAGUCCCUUUUCUUCAAAAUGUCUUUUUUUUGGCUGUAAAUAACAUUUAAGCUCAUAAGUACCAUUAUUCUAAAAAAAAUUACCAACUUUUAAUAAAAAUGUACUUAAAUAUUGCCUAAAAAUAAGUAUAAAUAUGGCAAUAUCAAAAUACCUCACACUUAGACAUUGCUUUCCCUCAAGCAAAUCUAAACUUAACCCUUGAUUACUAACAUCACAUAGAACAAUCCGACUCCAGCUCAGCCAUUAUGCCAAGACCUCAAUGCUUGCAUUUGUGUCUAAAAUUUUCCUAAAGUACCCCCCCCCAUAUUUUAAAUACUCACAAUCUUCAUAAACACUCGCCCACUUUUUCCGAACAAUGCUCAUUUUAUGCAACCCUCCGAAUCCAUCCGCAGAAAACCUCCUUAUCCUCAAGGUAUUUUUAGUUGAGCAACCUAAGCAUACAUAAUCUAGAAUUACAAUCUAUGAUACCACUAUGGAGCUCUUUUGGAAUUCUUCACUUCCUUGAUAAUUUGAUCUUUGAUUUCUUUGCAUUCACCACCUUUGUUGUUUGAUUUUUGGUAUCUUCAACUUUUUAAAUUUCUAGGAAUUUUGAUCUUUUGAUCUUCAUUUUAUUUGCUCCAAAAUUCUUCAAACUUUUCUUGCAAUUCUCUCUUUUUUUCUUCUUUUUUUUUACAUGUACCUCACUUUUUUCACUCAAAACCUACAUGCUUAAGCAGAGGCGCUCAACCUCAACCUUUAUUGGUUAAUGAUAAUAAUUUUCCUGGAUACAUUUCAGGUUUAGGCUGCUAAACAUAUUGCAUCCCUCAAACCAAGCGGGGUUAUGUUUUUGUUCCAUGAUUUCACUAAAAUAAGGGAGGCCACAAAUGCACUAUAACGUAUAUUGGCUCAACUAAACAUUUGAACUUUUAUCGGAUCAUCCCAUAUAACACUAGCAACUACAGUUCAAAUUAUUAUUACUAGAUUCAAUUAUUAAAAAUUUCAAUUUUUAAAUUUUCAAUUUUACUAUCAAAUUCUAUCAUUAUCUAGCAAUUUACUUUUUCUACCCCUACCCCACACUUAUUUCAUACAAUGCCCUCGUUGUAUGCAUAAAAUAAAUCAAAAUUAAAGAAAAGGGAGAAAAAGGAACAGACUCCCCUGGGAUAGUGGCGUGAACAUCUCCAAAAGUGUGGAAAACGUGCAUCUUGAAUAUGGACUCCAAAAAUAGAAACUUGGAUCUUGAACUCGCGAAAUAAGGAGUAUACCGGCACAACAUGAAAUCGAGCCUUCAAUCGUCUUCAAAUAUGGUGUAAAUCUCCAAAAGUAGAAUGACCAAUGUGGGAAAGCAUACGCCACAUUGUAUGGUGAUAAAAAUGAGCCAAAAUAAUCUUGAAUAUAUUGACAAGAAGAAUAGCAUCAACCCAUAGAAGACUAAAAUGUCAAGGGCCUUGAAAAUGUAAAAAUCUCAUAUUCACGAUGUGAGUUUGAGACAAUUCACGACGUGAAAUCGUAACUAAGCGUAUUCUGAGAACCUCCUGAUAACUGACUCAUGACGUGAAUAAUAAAAGUUCACGUCGUGAAAACCGGGCAGUCAGAAAAACAUUGCCAAUUCUUCUUCUAAUGUCUUAAUGUAUUAAGACUCUUCUAAAGUCAUCAGUUUAUGACUCUUUCGCUGACUCUCCACUCUCUUGACUUACCCCACACUUAUUUUGAAAAUAUGGGUCUCGACUCUCGGCGUUAAACACUCCCGGCUAAAAACGUACGCAUUCAUAACUCGCUAUCCUCUCAAGGCGCUCCUAGCAAUUUCUGAGAAAAAACCAACAACGAAGAAUAAAAGUAACAUAAUAUUCAAAGUAGUUCUUACAAUCCCAUAAAAACAAACUAAAAACAAACUAAAAACAAAUCAAACAAAAUAAUAAAUAACGAUCAAUCAUCCUCCUCAUCCUCAUGUGCUCCACUGGUUCUAGCUCCAUCACCUCCGCGUCCACCAUACUCCGACCAUCGUGGGCAAAUCGGGUAAUGAUACCCUAAAUGAGGCGGCUGCUCCACCCCAAGAUGCCGGACAACAUUCUCCAUAGUGCCACCUAUCCAAUUCACACUCAACGAUAACUGGUCAAAGUAACCAGCCAUAUCACUCCCAAAAGGCGUACCAACCAUGGAAGCAAGUGGGUGUAUUAGCUGCCCGCGGUCUCCCCUUCCUCUCACGUUCCUGCGCCUCGGUCUCGGCUCUGGCGCAGCUUGGUCAGCCGGCUGAUCAUCCUCAUCAUCACCCUCAACAUCUGAUGGUACUAUGCCCCAAUGCGACCCAAAAUUUCUGACCACCCGCAUAGUUUCCAAAUAUCCCAUACCAAAGUCAUGCUCGUCUACACACGUCAUGGAUCUAGUAAUAUCGGGAACAACCAAAUGAUAAGAUCGGGCCAAACAGGUAACAAAAUGCCCCCCACAAAUGGGGCUCCCAGGGUGCAAACUCGCGGCAGACCCGGCCAGAAAACGGGCUAGAAAAUACGGGAUGUUGCAACAGACACCAAGCUGUAAGAUACACCAUAAGAAGAAUAAGUUCUGCUUAGUCACUUUGGCGCCAUGCCUCUUAUGGUUGAUGGAAAAGGUGAUGAACCGGUGGAGUAAACGAUGAAUCGGGGACCGAAUACUGCUCUCGGGAGAUACUCCAGAAUUAAACAUUCCGGAGGCAAUAUUAUGCCAAAGAGAAUACCCCGUGACACCCUCCGCAUAACCUCUAGCAGCCCCACUCAAAAACAUGCCAAACUUGGGAGUCAUAGCCUCCUGUCGAUCAUACAGUCCUACUCUCCAAGCAAACUCAACCAGGCUGCACUCCUGGUACUCACCCCCCAAACGAAAUACCAACGCCUGUGGCCAGUGUAGAUCUUGAACAGUUUCCUAAAAUGUCACCGUUGCGAAAAACUCGACACAAAACUCCUUGUAGACCCGCUCAUGUACCCGGAACAAAUUCUGCCAACCAGAACAGGUAAACGAAUACCCAUCUCUGAUAAAUAUCUUUGUCAAAAACGGGCCCACCCGGUCUACGAGCCCUACUUCCUUCAAUCUUGUCCAAUUGAUUGUUGGAGCAACUAUAAUUUCCCUGUUGUAGAGCCACCCCAAUCUGUUGUUCCAACGGGUCAGGACAUCAUGGGGCGUUGUUGCGGGAAAUUUGUAAAACGGGUGCAAACCCGCAACCCCAGCUGGAACCUCUCUUCUUGGAGCCAUUCCUGCAAAAACAAGGAAAAAACAGCCAAAACAAAUAUCCACAAAUUAUACAUAAAGGAAACGAAUUUUGUUCAGCCCCAGGAUUCACGUCGUGAAUCCUGUAAGAUUCACGUCGUGAAUUCGCAAUCCUAGAAGGCAGAAUCGUAACAAUAGGGGGUAAAUCCAGUCAAAAUCCCAAUGGGUUUUACUCCUAUACUACUUCCAAACACUUAGCAUGAACAUUCAAAGUUUAUUACGAACUGUAAAGAAUUAAUUUCGUCAUUUCACUCAAUUAACAAACCCUAACCCUAAGUUCAUCUACUAGAGCAAAAAAUUAAACUUAAUAACCAAUAAUUAUUACCUUUGUUGGAAGUAUUACGUAAGCACAAGGAUGAUUAGUAGAGUUAUCGGCUAAAAUCGCAGCAAUGGGGACCAAGGGGGGACCAAUUUCUGCUUCCACUUCGUGAACAAUAAACAAUUGAAGGGUUUACUGGUUUCUAGGGAUUUAUUCUGUGGUCCCGUACUUUUGAAAAUUCACGUCGUGAGUUCUUAAGGAUUCACGUCGUGAAUAGUGUCUGGGCUUAAGUUUGGGCCAUGUACUCACUGACUGAUCUUGGGCUUGCUAGUCUAAUGGGUUAAGCCAUAUCAUGGAUUAUGUGUCCAGUUCAUUCACAAUUCACGUCGUGAGUUCUUAAGAACUCACGUCGUGAAUAAAGUCUGGAAGAAAAAUCAAUUUUGACUUUAAACUAAGUUCUCAAUUAUUACUACUUCCAUUUUAAGGUCCCUACAUUCAGUGCUUAAUUAUGUUCUAAUAGAGUUGGAUGACAUGAUCUAAGUUUCUAAAACUAAAAUGCAAAAAGAAAAAGAAAAAAAAAUUGCAAACCAAACUCGGGUUGCCUCUCGAGAAGCGCUUCUUUUUCUUGGAGUCUUGAGCUGGACUCCGUGCCUCCUACGUUGAGUCCUCGGAAGAAUCCACCAUUAGGAUCUUUUGUUCCUUGAAUCGCCUCUUGUAAGCUUGAACUCGCCUUUUGUAAGCCUUCUUUGAAUUCUCUUUUUUAACUUUCACCUCUUCUUCAAGCUUGCGUUUGGUCCCUUUAGUUUCUUCCUUGCACUUCAUCGCAUCCUCCUCCUCUUUCACCACCAGCUUUGUCACUCUUGAAGUGACCUCCUCUUCAUCACUUGUCGUCUCCUCCUCCUCUUUGCUCACCCAAGAAGGUGGACUCUUGUAAGCUAUGACUUCAACCAAAAAUGGAACAGAUGCUCUAGGUUUUGUUCUUUUGACUUGAUGAACUGCCUUGAUCUCUUCUUCCAUAAGCUUUUCCAGUUCUUCAAGUUCAUUAUCUUCAUUGAUUGUGAACACCUCUUCUUGAACAUGUUCCUUUGGGAAGCCAUCUUCUAUCCCAAAAACUUCUUUUUCAUCUCCAACUCUCAAGGUGAACUUAGACUCGCGGAUAUCAACCAAAGCUCCAGAAGUGUUAAGCAAUGGACGGCCAAGGAUAAUUGGAACAUCGGGAUCUUCCUUCAAAUCCAUUACUACAAAAUCUAUUGGAAAAACAAAUUUUCCAAUUUUCACCAAAAUAUCCUCCACUAUGCCCCGGGGUUGUGUCACUAAACGGUUCGCCAUGUGAAUGGUCAUUUUUGUAGCCUUCAUCUUCUGAAUUUCCAAUUUUUUAUAAAUUUUCUUUUCAUGAGAGUGACCUUUCAAAGAGACUUUUUGCGAUAAUUCCCUUCUUAAAGGGAUGGCUCACUCAUGAAAAAGGCAUCAAAUUAAUGCUAGCCCCAGAAUCGGCUAAAGCAUUAACCUUCAAUUUAUUACCAAACUCACACGGUAGAGUGAGGCGUCCAGGGUCCCCCAUCUUCUCUGGUAUCUCUCCCAACACAGCUUUUGAGCUUUGUUCACUUAGAACCACCUUACACUGCUUCUUUAAUUGCUUGCGAGUGUCUAUCAAAUCUUGCAGUAAUUUUUGAUGCUCAGGAGUUUUGGAUAAGGACUCGACAAAGGGAGUAUUACUCGGGAUCCCCUUCACAUGCUUGACAAACUCUCUACGCACUCUCUCCAGUGGACUGAGGGUAGCUUGGGAAGGAAAAGGCAAAGGCGGCUGAUAAACCGAACCAACUGCAGAAUUUUUCUGUUCAUGACAGGCCCACGUCGUGAACAUAUAAUGUUCACGUCGUGAAUUCUGGAACUCAGCAGCUUCAUUAUUUUCGAGCUUGGUCUUCUUCAUCUUUGGAUCAGGCUGCUGUGGUUCUUCUUCCAAUGCCUCCAGGAACUCAAAGAUGGCUUCUUCUUCGGUGUCUAUGGCCAUUACAUGAGAUUGGGUCUUCGUUUCGGUAUUUUUCGGGGAUAACUUCUCAUGAACUAAAGUGGCUAGUUGACCAACUUGAACUUCAAGGUUAUGGAUGGAGGCUUGCUGAUUCUUAAUUAAAGUUUGAUGUUCAUUAAUAGAAGAAUCAGUGGCAUCGUGUCUCUUUUCCGAAGCUUCCAUAAACUUCAUCAACAUAGUCUCUAGAUCGGGUUUCUUCUUGGCUGGUGGCUGCUCCUUUUGAUAAAAGCCUCGACCUGUCUGCCUAUACUUCUCUUCUUUUUGCUUCUUAUACUCUUCAUAUGGCAGCCACUCCUUCUUCGGUUUCCUCCAGUCCUCAUCAAACUUAUCCCCACUAGAGUAGCACACUUGAGCUUUUCUGUUCCCAAACUCAUCUAAAUUGCAGUCCUUGGUCAAGUGUGGACCACUACAUCUCUCACAACCCACUCUUAUGGCAUGUAUUGAAUGGUCCAUUUGUGUUAUCCUUCGAUCCAAAUUAUUCAGCAUAGCCAUCACAGCUGCUAUUUCUUCAGUUUGGACCCCUCCACUGCUUUUGAUUCCAUCUUGCAUAGGGUUGUGGUAUUCGCAAGAGUGCUUCACGAAUUCUUCAAUCAGCUCCUUAACCUCCCUUGGAUUUUUCUUUGUUAAAGGUCCUUGAUAAUCAAGGAGUUGUCUCGUCAUAACGUUGACCCCAUCAUAGAAGAUCGACAUCUCUUGUUGCACAUUUAGAUCAUGCUGAGGGCAAUUUCUGAGCAAGCCCUUGUACCGCUCCCAUGCUUCGUAUAAUGACUCCCCCGGCUGUUGCUCAAAGUUGGCUAUUGCCUUCUUGAGUUUGGCUAUCUUGGAUGGUGGGCAAAACUGGUCCAGGAAUUGCUCACGCAUUUGAGCCCAAGUGGUAAUUGUACCCGGUGGAAGUGACUUUAACCACUCCUUAGCAGCUCCUUUGAAAGUGAUGGGAAGCAUCCUAAGCAAGACGGUGUUUCUGUUGAAAUUUGGGACAUUGAAGUAAUCCGCAAUGUCUUUGACUUCAUCGAGAUGCUUAAAAGCAUCCUCAUGAUCUUUCCCAAAAAAUGGGAUAUCCUUUAGUGCAGUCAAGAUGUGCCCCUUCAACUCGAAUGUGGCAGUGGCAGGUAUUGCGGGUUGGACUAAACCGGGACCCAUAUCUUCUCGGAUCCGCUUCUUGUAAGCUCCCAUGGACAUUUCUUCAAUUGUUUCCAUCUCGUUCCUUGGCUCGUUCUCGGGUUCGCUCGUGUGUUCUUCAAAUUCCGGCUCGGUAUCGUAUUCGGACUCGGUUUGGAUGGGUGUUUGAUCCAAGUGCUCAAAAUUGCUCUUGUGCCUCGCGGAUGAACUUGACUCUCCUGUCUUCUUUCCUGACUUUCUUGACAAAAAUGACUUUAAUUCUUGUAAGGGUGUCUUUUUCUUGUGAAUUGCAGACUCGGGAUCUUCAAGUGGUGACACCAAGGGUGUGUUUGAGCCUCGGGUCAUGAACUCCUACAACUUGCUAAACUAAAAAAACGUAAAACUGAACUAAAAUAAGAAAAUACUAAAAACUGAAAUCACAGCUUUCACGUCGUAAGCUUAUUAAAACUCACGUCGUGAAUUCUGUGAUAGAAAACAAAAUAAUAUGCUAACCAACUAAGCUAAAAUAACAAAUAAAUAACUAAUUAACUUUUUGCAGAUUUUAUUCCACAAAAAGGGUUCGAUUAAUCUAAUGAAACCAAAUAAACUAAUAAUCUAAGCCGUUCCCCGGCAACGGCGCCAAAAACUUGAUGUGCACAAAAGUACCCACUAAUUUUAAUAUUUAUAACCUAACAAACUUAAACUAACUAUGCACUUAUAGGCAGUGUACCUAGUCAGAUUACAGUAUAGUUUGGGUAAGUCGGGUGUCGAUCACAGGGAACGGUGUUACUAAUUAAUUUACUUACUAUUAAAUUAACCUAAUUAUUAACAAGUUUAAAAGGGGUUUUAUCUGAUUUUACAAGAUCAGACGAACUUAAAUCAAAUUCAAUAAGUAAAACACACUCUUGUUUAGUUUGAAUCCACUUCUUUCUUAUGACUAGCUAAUGUUUAUGGAUCAUCUAGUUGGUUUUAAUUAUAUUAGUAAUUUAGUUCUAACUUUACCAAUAAUUAACUAAUUCAUGUCAAACCAUGUAUGUUCACACACAAUUAAACACAGAACUAAUUAUGAAUGUAAAUACGCUAUGUAAGAUUUGUUAUAUAAACGCAAUUAUAGUCACAAUACACGUUCUCUAGCACAACUAAGCUUAUUUACUCUAAUUACUAACUAAGAUUGGUCAAUCCUAGCUCUAACAAUUCAAUGUUCACUAAAUCAUUAGGUAAACAAGUUCAUGCAUUUAAUGGUCAC